UACGUAGGGGGCAAGCGCUAUCCGGAUUUACUGGGUGUAAAGGGAGCGUAGACGGCGAUGCAAGCCAGAUGUGAAAGCCCGGGGCUCAACCCCGGGACUGCAUUUGGAACUGUAUAGCUAGAGUGUCGGAGAGGCAGGCGGAAUUCCUAGUGUAGCGGUGAAAUGCGUAGAUAUUAGGAGGAACACCAGUGGCGAAGGCGGCCUGCUGGACGAUGACUGACGUUGAGGCUCGAAAGCGUGGGGAGCAAACAGG
rnacentral:rRNA from 1 species